rnacentral:rRNA from 1 species
AUCACUGGUGUUCGGGUUGUCAUGCCAAUGGCACUGCCCGGUAGCUAAAUGCGGAAGAGAUAAGUGCUGAAAGCAUCUAAGCACGAAACUUGCCCCGAGAUGAGUUCUCCCUGACCCUUUAAGGGUCCUGAAGGAACGUUGAAGACGACGACGUUGAUAGGCCGGGUGUGUAAGCGCAGCGAUGCGUUGAGCUAACCGGUACUAAUGAACCGUGAGGCUUAACCUU